rnacentral:lncRNA from 1 species
AAAAAUCUAACAAAGGUCUAAUCAAAUCACCCUUCCUACUGGAGGUAAUGAAAGUCAGGCCGUCCCUCUCUAAUCAGUCAACGUUGCUAUUCCAUCCGUUCAACAGCGUCAAGGUUGAGGUGUCGACUGUUCCCACCUUCACCUCAUCUGCCAUGACCAGUCUGCGGGGACACCGGCAACUACACGGAGAACGGCUCGUCUCCACCGAAACCCGCCCGGAACGCUUCCUCCUCGUCCUCGGCGUUCCCU